UUCUCCAUGUUGGUCAGGCUGGUCUUGAACUCCCGAUCUCAGGUGAUCCACCUGCCUCGGCCUACUCUCUUAAUUUAAACAACUAUUAAAUGAGACAAUACAUUGCAAAGCAUUUAGAAAAGUGCCUGACACAGAAAUAAGUUUUCAAUAAACACGAAUGUUUGCUGUUAUUACAUAAAUUUAAAAAAAAAAAAAAAAAAAAAGCCACCUGGCUCCAUUCUUGGUUGGCCACAAACUCUGAAGAGGUGGAGUUAAAGUGUGUGAGGUAUGUCGGAAAACCAAAACCUCCCAUGCAAGUCACUACUACAGCUGACAUCCUGGAGCCAGAGAAUUUGGUGAACGUCUUCAAUGGUCACAACAGAAAAGGGAACUAACUCUAGAUCCCCAGGCUGACUUGCCCACUGAGCCUGGAGGGCAAACUGCUAAUUAACUCAUCUCCCCACCUUUCUUUGCUUGGGUUCCCCUCCUUCCAUCUUCACCCCUGUGCCAACAGUACAUCUCCACAGAUAGCCUGCUCUCGUGUUCCCUCUACUGGAGGGCUGUGGUCCCAGAGUUGCUCCAACAUCCGACUUGGCUCCCUGCAGAUGGAAUGUCCUCCUCCAGGGAGAGGUGCUGGAGGUCAAGUGCUAAUGUAUUGUCAACCUUUGACUCCAGAGAAGCGGAUUAUAUGAUUUAAUGAUAGUUCCGCAACAGAAAAGAUUUUGAAACGUGUAGCUCAAAACAGUAAAAUUUCAGCGAUUAUCUGAAACUGAAGUAGUCCAAACUGCUGACUGUGUAACCUGAGCAACUUGUUUUAACUCCUCGGAGGCUGUUUCCUCAUCUGUACAGUGAGAAUAGCAGUACUUACCUAACAAGGUUGAGGAUUAAAUGAAUUAGUAUUUGUAAAGUGCUUAGAAUGGUACAUAGCACAGAACAGUGUUCUAUAAGUAUUUCUUGAAAAAAAUAAAUAAAGAAAGAAGCCUACCUUAAACCUUAAGAGAAAAUUUUUUAAAGCCAAAAUUUUUAAAAGCUAAAUUUUAGAAUCAAUUGCAUUUUAAAGUCAUCACUAAACAUGAGGCUGCUGCUACACAGUCACUUGUGCUGGAUUAUAUAACAGGUGAAAACUUAUUCUCUUGGGAAUUUCCAGAACUCUGUAGCACAGCCAAAAUACACUGACCUUGAAUACACUGUUCUUGAACAAAGUGGAUGUACUGAACACUGAAUUGAUGUUACUACUUCGUACCAAGCACACAGCACUGAAUGCUCUCACGCUCAAUUAUCUGACAGUGAUGCUAGUAAGAAUAAGACAUAAUUUUUAAUCUUAUUUAAAACGUAUUAUGCACUCCCAGAGUACUUAAAAGAAAACUACUCUUCUGCUCUUCAUAGAUAUCUGUUCAUAAGAAGAAAAACAGCUGGUUUGGGGGCUGGUGGUGGGUUUUCCCACUGAUUUCAAAAGACAGAGAGCUAUGCAUAUGCUAACUUCCGAAGAGGCUAUCAUCAGUCACUGGAAAUCCACAGAAAAGGUCAUUGCCAGAGAUCUGCCACGUGUGAUCCACCUACUCUCACGUCAAGGCCACUACACCAGGCUAAUGCAAAGCCCCUGGGAAGGUGGCCCAGUGCAGGACAGACACAAAAGGGACCAUAGUCAAGGAGCAGCCUUACUUUCUCACCUCACCCAAGAUACAGACCUAUGGGCCAAGGGAGGGGAAAUCAGCAUAUGGCCACCCAGGCCAGGGUUACGCCCACUCCUCAACCCUGCUCCCAGGGAGAAAGACCGUACUCUUGUCAAGGGCCCUGUGGGUGAGAAAGAGCUAGAGGGCCGCUGUGACCACUGAGUUUCUGCACCAUUUGGUCAACUGAAAAUCAUGACCCUCUCUGGGUCUCAGUCUUCUCAUCUGUGAAGUGGAGGGGUAGGACAAGAUGACACGAAUAACAGAAUGAGUGACUAUAACCCAAGCCCAUAGUUUAGUGUCAAGGAUUGUGAGAACGAAGCAAAAGGCAUCAAGCACUCUGAAUUGUACAAAUAAUGAAGAUAAUGCCCACAAAGACAGAUGGAACAUGCCUCACAGCUUCUCAGUUUUCCUAUGACUGUUAAGAUAACUAGUCACCAUGUAGCAUGACUCCGAGGACCACGUAUGGGCUUUGCAUCUUCUGUGAAGGCUUCCGUCGCCCUUGGGGAUAUGUCGCUGUUCUGUCCACCAGCACUCUCUCAUGUUCUCAGGACAGUGGCAUAAUUAUCCAUUUCUGUUCUGUCCCUACCCCCUAAAAGAUUACUCUAGAACCUGUUCUUAUUAAGCUCUGCAUUGUCAUUGCUGUCAUUGUCAUGCAGUAGGUGCUCAAUAAAUGACAAUACCUAACCCACUGUACACACAUCAAAAACAAAAGAGCAUCUAUGGGUCUUUAUACUGUAAGGUUUUACUUUCUUCUCCCCUACUUCCCUACUAUUGGUCCUUCCAUCUAGACCUUACCAUCUGCAGUGGUCUACAUUUGGGACCCUUACAGUAAACAUGUGCUACCUCUCUGAAAAGUCAUGCAUCUGCUCCCAGCUCCGUCUCUGCAUGACCAGGCGAGUAAGUGCAGACCUCUUCUUGCAUCUGUGUGGUUCUCUUUUCCUUAGGCUGAAAUGCUGCUCUCCCCGUCAGCUGUGAGGAUGCACUUACCGCCCUCUUGCCCACCAUGGUAUGGGGCCUGGAGAGCUAAGCUUGUGUCUGCUCUGACUUUGGACAGUCCCGAGAGGGGUCAUUCCUCAGCAGCUCGUUCCAUCACUGAGAAGUGCUGCCUGAGAUCCCAGAGUUGCCUGCACCCUUGAGGUUCCUCUUUGGUCAUCGUUCCUUGCUUGGACUUCUUUAGAAGUCUAGAGACUUCCGAGGUUGGUGAGCAGACUGUGUCCUUAACAAGCACUUUGUUUCUCAGGGGCUCCCCAGGUCCCUAACCACCUCCCUCUCAGACUCCCAAACCCUGGAACUGAAUUCAAGGCAACCUUCUUCCCUCUUUGAAAGGUUUAACAAACAGCAUCUAAACUUUUACCUUGGAAAGCACAUUAACCAAGUUCCAAGUCACAUGAAUUAAGGGAUGGCCCACUUAAAACAAACCACACUGAGUAGCUCCGAGGAAUGUCUCCACUGGUGCAAGUGCAAAAUCCAAGCAAAGGCCCUGAUUAGCAACUGAGUGUGCUUCGGGACACCGACCCCUCCUGCCUGGCCCUCUGCCGCUGCAGCAACACAUGUGAACGACACGGUAACUGAGCACACCCCUGAGCACACCCUGGGAAACAGACCGCAGCCCUCCCUGGCGCCCAGUGAUUACAGGCCAAGGCUGAAAGCAGCAACAAGAACCAAGAAACAAAGCCUUCUGUGAAACCAGAAACCACACAAGGUCACAAAAACAGCAAGAACUUGUAAAUCCUGAAAACCCUUCAGUGAGGAAUUUUCCUAAGCACCUGUGUCCAGCUCUGAACCAACAGUGGCUUGACACAUACCUGAGACGAUAAGAGCACAAAUCCAGCUGCCCCUCCGGAAAGACCAUUCAAGGUCACGGGCGUUUUAAGAUGUGGCCCUCUUUAGGGCUUAUCUGUGGAAAAACAUCCAAGGCACAGACCAAACAGCCGCUUUGAAAACACACUUAAGACAGACCACAACCUUGCACACCGCUGUGGCCUCAGGACUCUGGGACUAAGGCAGGUUAUUAUUAACCUCCAAGUCAGACAACCUCCAAAGAAACCAGGACUCAAACCUGGGGCUGCACAGCUGGAGUAGGAGUGUGGUUCCCAAGCUACGAAACCAGUAAGUGCGACCCUACCUCCAGUUCCCUGAUGUAAUAUCCAAUAAUAAGACGAGUACUACUCAUCUUUCUUUUAAAUUUAAUUGUGGGAGAAUAUCCAUAACAAAAUUUACCAUUUUAACCAUUUUUAAGUAUAGAGUGCAGCAGCAUUAAGUACGUUCACACUGUUGUACAACAUCACCACCAGCCAUUUCCAGAACUUUUUCCAUCUUGCAAAAGUGAAACCUUCGCUCCCUUCCCCAAACCCCCCGCAACCAUCAUUCUGUUUUCUGUCUCUGAAUAUGACUACUCUAGGGAACCUAAUCUAAAUGAAAUCAUAUAGAGUAUUCGUCCUUUUGUGACUGGCUGAUUUCACUCGGCAUAAUGUCCUCAAGGUUCAUUCAUGUUGUUGCAUGUGUCAGAAUGUCCUUCCUUUUUAGGACUGAAUAAUAUUCUAUAUUUCUUCUUAAAGAAACAAUUCUCAACUUUAAAGUCUAAACUCUAUAGUCAAACCCUGCAUUUUCCAUGCCUAAAAGCACAGACACUGCAGUUCUUGUGCAAUGAAUGGUAAAUGCAUCCUUCAAUCUUUUGUGGGGAAAUUUGCAAUAUGUUCUCCAUUUUUGAUCUGUCUUGUAUUUUGGCCUCAUAUUCAGACCAGAAGAAUCUGCUUUACAAUUUGAAUCACAAGGGAUCCGAGAUGGGUGCUGUAGCCAACCCGACUUAACAGGCAGCAUUUCUAAGCACAGAAGAGAGAGAAUUGAAUCUGAUUUGAAGGGAUUCAGGAAAGGCUCAUAAAACUUCAGUGAAUGUCCCAUGCUUCUAAGAUCCUCUUCUUUUUGUCAUAGCAUGAUGUCUAAACCCACAGCAUAGUUCUUCAGCUAUUUCUGAAUUGCUGAGAUUAACCAAAAAACCAAUCCCAAAAAGAGAUAAAAAUAAUUGAUUCAAACUGAUUAUACAAUAAAGGGGAUUUAUUUCCUUAAAACUGGAAAAAUACAAAAAUAGGGUAGGUUUCAGGCACAAUUUAUUCUGGGCUACUACUGCAGUUUUCAGUGAUUCUUCCAGUCCUGUCUCUCACCCCACAAUGACUUUGUCCUUAGGCUGGCUUCCCUCCGGAUCACAAGAUGUCCUCAGACACCUACUGGAGCUAUGUGGACCCUUAUUCACAUCCAGAGAGAACACUGCUUCCCAGAACCACCAAACCACAGUUCUGAGCAGCGUUCUAAGGGAUCAACCUGAGCUGUGGCCAGGAAAUGCCUCCCUGCUGAUUACAGGGUAGGGUAUAGUCCAUCUUUUGGGGAAGGGAGGAUGCUCUAAUGCUAGUUGGGGUUAAUUUCACCCAAAAUGCGUGGCUGCUAUGCAGUGCAGAUAAGAGUGGUCCCUAGAACAAAAUCUGGGUGCUGUGAGCAAAAGGAAAUGGUUGCCGAUCCAUGUCCCCCAAGGCACCCCAUGGCCUAAGUAAUGCUCCAUGUUAAUCCUUGUGUCAAAAUUUCACAUACUUCUUGAGAAGGCCUUGAUUGGAGUAGUAAGCAAACUAGCCUUUUAACUUUUUCCCGUCUCAGGGAAUUGAUUUAUCCUUUGUGAUCACAUUAAUGUUUGCAGAUGUCUUGAUCUUCAUUAAUUAUGUGAAUUUUUGUAAAGUUGAACAUUAAAGCCAACAGCAGCCAUACUUCUCUUUUAGGAAAAUGGCAGCCACAGCCACUCUGAGCCUCAAGGUUUACACAGCCCACAACAUUCUCUGGAUGGGACUGUACAUGCAGCAUGGGGGACAUCUGAGUCACCAGCUACUCAUCUUGUAUAGCAAGAGAACAAGAAAAAACUGAGUAUAGUAACCAAGGAAGAAAAUCAUAAAAGUUCACACACUGAAAACAACUUUCUAAUUCUCUUACCCAUAGUUGGCCACAGUUGAGCUAAGAAUCAUCACCAACAGUUAACUCAAAAAGGCAUGCAAGUAUGUGGUAAGAUACUAUAAUUUUGAUGUUAGAAAAUAAAUCCACAUGUUUAUAACUUAAGUAACAGUGAUUUGAAUCAAGGAGUAUUAAUGACUAUACCCUUAGAAAAAGAAUGAUUCUAACCACUUAGCCUUCAGUACCCACCCCCUAUCAAAAACAAACACAUUCUGUGAUAACAAACAUCAUAAUAUGAUCUUUAUUUGUCUGCCCUGGAAAAAAACACAUCAAAUCAUGACUAGUGUUCCUGUUAUUCAUUCCUCCCCAACAAGUGGAAAAAAAAAAAAAAA